rnacentral:sRNA from 2 species
CUUUGUAGUUUUUGACUGCAUGUGUCAAUUGCAUUCUGUUUGUUAUUAGACUUUUCCCUCUCCUGCUCAAUGUCUGCCAUCAGGAAAAAUGGGUAUCAUUCAAAACUUGUCUUGCUGCAGUUUGAGUGAAGUUUGCGAUAAGAUUGACUGAGUUUGGGAAAGUUUGUUUUUCCUUUCAAGAGUUGGAGGGAUUUUGAUAAGAUCAGUGGUAAGAGCAAUUAAAAAGAGGAAGUUUGACAGAAGUGGAGAUAAAAUGAACCACAUUAGCAAGAAGUUGGACUUUGAUUGUGGUUCUUUUGGGACAAGUUUAAGAAUUUAGUGAAAAUUGAUGGUAAAGUACAAAAUGUUGAGAAGUUUGAUAGA